AAUUGGCAGGCCACUGACUGCAUUCCCCGACCUUCAGACAGAUGCAUCCACACUACUCUGCCUUGCAGAUGUAGCUCUCUCCACAUCACUUGACUUUCCUGGCAUGCAGUCUUCAUUGCAGGUCCUUCGCGAGUCCGCUGAGCUCUGUCCAGGUCUCCAUUUCUGAGCCAUGUCUAGUAGGUCAUCUCAAGUGUGGCCAUUCCAUCAUCAUUAGCUUUCACAGCUUAAAUUAUUUAGUAAUCAUUCAAUCUGGGAACAACUUAGACCGAAUAAGGUAAGGC
rnacentral:lncRNA from 1 species